rnacentral:ncRNA from 1 species
CACCUGGUUGAUCCUGCAGUAGUAUAUUGCUUGUUCUCAAAGAUUAAGCCAUGCAUGUCUCAGUACUUGCUUUAACAAGGCGAAACCGCGAAUGGCUCAUUAAAUCAGUUAUGGUUCACUAGAUCGUACAGUUUACAUGGAUAACUGUGGAAUUCUGAGCUAAUAACAUCAAACCAGUCCGUUCCCUCGUGAGGGCCAGUUAUUUGCCAGGACAUCCGGCCUCGGGUCGGUCAAUUGGUGACUCUGAAUAACGAAGCGGAGCGCAUGAUCUCGUACGGCGCAGAUUCUUCAGUGUCUGACUUAUCAGCUUGUUGUUUGGUUAUGUUCCUAACAAGGCUUUUACGGGUACGGAGUGUCAGGGGCCCGACCACGGAGAGGGAGCUGAAAAACGUGCUCCACAUACCAGGAAAAGGCAGCAGGCGCGCAAAUUACCACUCCGGCUGGAAGGGGAGGUAAGUGACGAAAAAUAG